rnacentral:rRNA from 1 species
UACGAAGGGGGCUAGCGUUGCUCGGAAUUACUGGGCGUAAAGCGCACGUAGGCGGCUUGUUAAGUCGGGGGUGAAAUCCUGGAGCUCAACUCCAGAACUGCCUUCGAAACUGGCGAUCUUGAGUCCGGAAGAGGUGAGUGGAACUCCUAGUGUAGAGGUGGAAUUCGUAGAUAUUAGGAAGAACACCAGUGGCGAAGGCGGCUCACUGGUCCGGUACUGACGCUGAGGUGCGAAAGCGUGGGGAGCAAACAGG